rnacentral:rRNA from 1 species
GACGAACGCUGGCGGCGUGCCUAACACAUGCAAGUUGAGCGACGAACCAGGGCUUGCCCUGGGUCAAAGCAGCGAACGGGUGAGUAACACGUGGGUAACCUACCCCGAUAACCGGGACAACCCGAGGAAACUCGGGCUAAUACCGGAUGUGCUCACUGGACUUCGGUUCAGUGCGUAAAGGAAGCUUCGGCCUCCGUAUCGGGAGGGGCCCGCGGCCCAUUAGUUUGUUGGUGAGGUAACGGCCCACCAAGACCGCGAUGGGUACCUGGUCUGAGAGGAGGAUCAGCCACACUGGAACUGAGACACGGCCCAGACUCCUACGGGAGGCAGCGGUGGGGAAUCUUGCGAAAUGCGCGAAAGCGUGACGCAGCAACGCCGCGUGGGGGAAGAAGGCCUUCGGGUUGUAAACCCCUUUCAGGGGGGACGAAGGUUCGGCGGUGAAUAGCCGUCCGGACUGACGGUACCACCACAAGAAGCCCCGGCUAACUACGU